UUGAAAAGAAUAGGGGUUUGGUGCUUAGGUUCUUGCGACCGCACAAUAUUCCCCGACAAUUGUAUCAGUUUUUGUUUCAUCAGAAAUGUCUUGUAGACAAAUCACAAAAGCAUCCUCCAGAGUUCAAACCGAAGGCUCUGGACUUUUCAAUCCGUUAAUACUUGAGUGAUUGUUUCAAUAAUUGAAGAAAGGAAAAUGCAAAGGAAAUUGAGAAGAAUUCUCAACCAAAAAAUAAUAACAAAUCAUGAGUGUGAGUGAUGGCCGGCUUGGUGACCGGUCUCGUCGGUGUCGUUGCCGCCUAAAAGUGUUGGUAAAAGCGAGAAAUUGUCACGCAACCAAGGCCAUCACUUCCUUUUUGUGAUAGUUUUUUCGCGCGCGAUUUCGGCAUAGAGCAUCCAACCGAAGAUUUUUGAUUGAUAAAAUCUCAACAGAACAAAUUCAGUAGAAAAAUCAAACUUUAUCAAGUUUUUUCUAUUGGGUAUUUGUCUGAAAAAAUAUAUCUGAAGAAAGAAAGCGUGUAGAGGGUGAAGAAUUGUCAAUACAAAACGAGACCACUGAAAUAUAACUAUAUUCAGUAGUAGAGUGUAUUCAGAGACAGUCAGUCGUGCAUAAUCGUGCAGCAACUGUACACCUUGGCAGUGCCUGGCAGAAAAUAAAAAAUUAACUGAAUUUUUAAUUGUUCUGUAGAAUCGGCCUCAUCCAACAACUUCAGGAUGUCAGGCGCACACCAAAGUGACUCUAAAUCAUUCAGUGGAAGCGCGAAGGAAAAUAAUCGACAGAAUGCCGGCAUGCAAUCGCUGAUGGAGGACAUCAAUGCUAGUUGUAAGAAGAAAUUCCAGACCAUCCGAACUCUGGAAGAGAAUUUGAUUGGGGCAACCAAUUCAGGAUUGUAGGCUGCGAAAAGGAAUAAUAAUAUGUCUGUCGACUAUCUGCGAGAAUUACAACGACAUAUGUCACAAUAACGACAAAUGUUACAGUUGUUAUAUCUAUUCUGAAUGAGCGAAUAAUAGUGCUUAAUU